rnacentral:rRNA from 1 species
UACGUAGGGUGCAAGCGUUGUCCGGAAUUAUUGGGCGUAAAGAGCUUGUAGGCGGUUUGUCGCGUCUGCUGUGAAAUUUCGGGGCUCAACCCCGAACUUGCAGUGGGUACGGGCAGACUAGAGUGUGGUAGGGGAGACUGGAAUUCCUGGUGUAGCGGUGAAAUGCGCAGAUAUCAGGAGGAACACCGAUGGCGAAGGCAGGUCUCUGGGCCAUAACUGACGCUGAGAAGCGAAAGCAUGGGGAGCGAACGGG